AGAGAAAGAGAGUGAGAGGAGAGAGUAGCUCUGAAGGUGAAAGCCCAAGAAGAAGUUCUUGAGCUGUGAAGGUCCAUCUUCUUCCUUCUUCUCCCUUUCAGCCAACCUUCUGCCUCCCUGCAAGCUAGCACUCCCCGGAAAGCUGAUCAUUCCGAACUUAGCGUGGACGAGUCAUCGACGCCGGAUGCUUGUGCGGCUGCAAAGCAUCCUUGAAGGAACCUCCUUCUAAAGGUAAGAGAUCUGAUCUCUUUUAUGGUUGAGAUAUGACCUCAAUCUUCAACUUCUUGUGAUUUAUGCAUAUUUAUUUGAAUCACACAAUCCUCGGGAUCUGAGGGCUUUGUGAUAUUUGGUGUCAAAGCAAAGGAUUAGUGGAGACUAUUCGAUUUCCAGGAACUCUCACGCGUGAUCGUGUGACGAAGCGUGGCUCUCCACCCGGGGGCUCAUAUGAUGAGUGCUUUGAUAGGCACGCGCGGGUGUCACCCUAUGUAUUGGGACUGAGCCUGCUCCUCAUGUGAUGUGCAGUUGAAGACUGUCUUCGACUGGUACCAGAGUCAAAAUAUCUAAAAAUAUCGAGCAUGUUUUGGGUUAAAAUGUUUAACCCGUUCUUUCCGCAUAAAUUUUUUGAAAUUCAUGCUUAGCCCUCUACACGCACACCAUCAGUAAUCACAUAUCUAAGUGGAUUAUUCCAUAUAGUCGGCCACGUAAUCACCGGUUAAUGCCAACAGAGAUUUUUGAUGAGAAAGUAGCUGAAAUCAACGAGGAAGGAUGAUAUUAAAAUAGUGGUGAAAUAAUAUGGAUCAAAUUUGAGAUUGUUUAUUAGAAACCUGAUCUAAACUUGGAGUACUAAAAGCAUAAUUUAUCCAAAAAAUAAUUGACAUGCUUGAAUCGAAAAUAUUCUAGGCAUUUCCACAAAAGCAAGAUUGCCCUCUUGUGAAGUUGAUUGGCCAAGAUGCUCCCAGGAUACAAUAGAUCCUAGCAUUGUUGAAAUAGCCUUCGAGUACAACAUGAGCACAUGAAGGUAGAAGCUUGAUGAAGGGCUUGACCAUCUUUAUAUAAAAAAAGAUACAAUAAAGGGCUAUCUAUGGUGGAGAAGGGAGUCGAAGAAAUGAUUUUAAUUCUACACAGAGAAGUGAAAGAGAGGGUCGAAAGAGAUUAAAAAAUUUCUUAAAGGAGUUAGAGAUAUUAGUUCUCAGUGAGACCUAUUAACCUGUUACCCGCUUUAGGAAUAAAAAAAUACUUUCAUAAU
rnacentral:lncRNA from 1 species